rnacentral:rRNA from 1 species
CCCGGGUCUUGUACACACCGCCCGUCACACCAUGGGAGCGGGAUGUACCAGAAGUAGGUAGGCUAACCGCAAGGGGGCCGCUUACCACGGUGCGUUUUCGUGACUGGGGUG